GUAGUUUCAAUCUGGCGCUUUUGCUGUUUGCGAGUCUGAUUAUAAACUACAUCUCCCAGAAUCCCUUGCGCAGCGCGGGACUCAACGUGGGAGCGCCGAGCGCCGUAAAGGAGAGCGGGGAGGAGCAGGAAGUGAAGUACCUUACACUUCGUAGUCGAUAAGAGGAUUUUUAAUUUUUUUCAUUUUUAUUUUUAUUUUUUUAAAAUAACUGUUUGAGUUCUGUUGCUAACACACGGACAAAAACAUAACCUCUGUGGCGGAGGUAACAACGCGUCUGGAGUGUUCCAAGCCAAAACAGACUCGGUCAUGGCGCAGCGUGCUGAGGGAAAUCACCUGCUUCACACGGAAGCUACUUAACAACCUGCUGUCACUCGGAGAAGAUGAAGCCAGCGAAGUUAAACGUCAAUUUGUGAGAGCUUAUUGAAUGAUCUUUGAGAAUUUGCCCAGGUCUGCAUUAGAGUGUGUGCAUGGACACUGGGACUUCUUCCGGGGUUCCCUCUCCUCUCUAAGUCUACGUCCACAGCGAAUCCCUUCUCCUUUCCAGAGGGCAGUCAAGCGGCUUAUUAAAGAAAAACCUUCUGUCUGCAAGGUCACGGCCCUGAAUGUUCUACCUUUUAUCCAAAGUUGCAGAGUUGGCGUCUCCUCCACCAACCCACGCUCGCUCUCUCAGCGCAGCUCGCCAAGAUGGUCCGGCUGUGGACGCACAGGAAGUUCCGACGUGAGUCCAGCUGGCCCGACGGGGACGGGGCGAGUGGAACAGAUGUGCGCCAGGCUUUGAUGUAGGUGAGACUUCUGCACAGGUUUUAAUGAAGAGGAAGGAGAAGUUUCAGUGAUACAUGCUCGAACUAGGCAUGACAACCUUAGGCAGAAAUACCACAAUUACAGCUCUUAUUUUGAAAUGUUCUAAUUAAAAAGAGGAGAAAAAUAACUUUUCAGCUCAACACUCAUUUAAAAACAACCAUUAUAGAACAGGGACAAGCUGCACUGAUUUUUUUACACUGAUUUUUUUAUACACUGAAUUUUAAAACACUGCAUUUUAACAAAUUACAUUUUUAAACCUAACAUUUAAAAAAUUGUGAGCAUAACGUCAUUGAAUUUGUGAGCAUAAUUUGUGUGCUUAAAAAUUAAUUUUGUUAAAAUACAGUGUUCUAAAAUUCAGUAUAUAAAACAAUCAGUGCAGGAAUGUUUGUCGCUUCAAAGCUCAAGAAACACUUGGCGGUAAAUUAACUGAAAUUAUGAAAUGAAAUGAAUUUUAAAAAAUUAUGAAACUGUCAGCAUAAUUUGCUCAGUUACAUAAAUUCAGUGGAAAAAAAAGCUUUCAUAUUAAAGACACAAAUCUAACUUCAUAUAUAACAAAAAAAGGUCUGUACAAGAACUUUGCAUCGUUUCUUUAUGACAAUGAACUAUGACUAAAUAUUACCUGUACACUUUUCUGGGAGCGACUCUUGGCGAGUUUUUUUUCCAUUCAUUGUUGUGCAAAAUGUAUGUUUACCUAUGUCUUGUUAACCUUCUUUUACCGAUGUUUACCUACUUUUUGCUUUCUUUACAGAUGCGUACCUUUUUAUUUGACCUUUUACCUACUUUUCCCUCUUUCCUUGCAUUUUUUGGCUUUGUUUACUUACUUUUUACCCUUCCACUUUUUUUUACCUUCUUUUACGUGUUUACCUAUUUUUAAACCUUCUUUUACGUUGUUUAGCCUGUUAACUCACAUUUUACGUCCUUUUACCAAUGUUUACCUAUUUGUUUACCUUCUCUGACUUAUGUUUACCUUCUUUUUCCCCCUUCUUUUGUGUGUUUUAAGCUUUGUUUACUUACUUUUCACCCUAUUUGAUCUACUUUUUUUAAAUUGUACUUUUUUAGAUAUUUUUUUAAACCUUCUUUCACGUUCUUUUGCCGGGGUAACCCACUUUUUUUUUAAUGUACUUUUACCUAUGUUUAUCUACAAAACCCAAAACCAGUGAAAUGACACAUUGUGUAAAUCGUAAAUAAAAACAAAAUACAAUGAUUUGCAAAUCCUUUUCAACCUAUAUUCAGUUGAAUAGACUGCAAAGACAAGAUAUUUAAUGUUCAAACUGGUAAACUUUGUUAUUUUUUGCAAAUAUUAGCUCAUUUGGAAUUUGAUGCCUGCCACAUGUUUCAAAAAAGCUGGCACACGUGGCAAAAAAGACUGAGAAAGUCGAGGAAUGCUCAUCACACACUUAAUUGGAACAUCCCACAGGUGAACGGGCUAAUUGGUAACAGGUGGGUGCCAUGAUUGGGUAUAAAAGCAGGUUCCAUGAAAUGCUCAGUCAUUCACAAACAAGGAUGGGGCGAGGGUCACCACUUUGUCAACAAAUGUGUGAGCAAAUUGUCCAACAGUUUAAGACCAACAUUUCUCAACGAGCUAUUGCAAGGAAUUUAGGGAUUUCACCAUCUAAGGUCUGUAAUAUCAUCAAAAAGUUCAGAACAUCUGGACAAAUCACUGCACGUAAGCGGCAAGGCCGAAAACCCUCUUUUGCCUAUGUUUACCUAUUUUAUACCAUCUUAUAGAGAUGUUUACCUAUUUUUUAACCUUCUUUUACCUAUAUUUACCUACUUUAAAAAUAUAUAUUUAUAUUUCCUAUUUUGACCAUGUUUACAUUUUUUUUACCUUCUUAUACUAAUGUUUAUCUAUUCUUAAAAACUUUUACCUAUGUUUUCUUGCUUUUUUACCUUCUUGUACUGAAGUGAAUUAUAUAUUUUUUUAUAUUUUUCUGAUGUUUACCCAUUUUUUUUAACCUUCUUUUAGUUAUGUUUACCUAUUUUUUAAACCGUCUUUUACUGUCGUUUACCUUUUUUUUUAACCUUUUUUACUCAUUUAAAAAAUAUUUAUUUUAUCCUCUUUAAUACAUGUUUACUGAUUAAA